rnacentral:rRNA from 1 species
UACGUAGGGUGCGAGCGUUGUCCGGAAUUAUUGGGCGUAAAGGGCUCGUAGGCGGUUUGUCGCGUCGGGAGUGAAAACCAUGGGCUUAACUCAUGGCUUGCUUCGAUACGGGCAGACUAGAGGUAUGCAGGGGAGAACGGAAUUCCUGGUGUAGCGGUGAAAUGCGCAGAUAUCAGGAGGAACACCGGUGGCGAAGGCGGUCUCUGGGCCUACCUGACGCUGAGGAGCGAAAGCAUGGGGAGCGAACAGG